CGAAUAUUCCAGCCGAAUUUCGUAAUGAAAAUGGGGGAACCAUGUAAUUGGGGUGAAUUUCAUUAUUCCCGGAAUAAUGAAUAGGGCGACCUGUGGAAAUGCCCGAAUCCGUCAGCUAACCUCGUAGGCUGUUGCACAGGAACCA
rfam:Paenibacillus sp. Y412MC10, complete genome.